rnacentral:tRNA from 1 species
GGAUUGUGGCUCAGUGGUAGAGCAUUUGCCCAGCACGUGGGAGGCCCUGGGUUCUAUCCUCAGCACCA